rnacentral:rRNA from 1 species
GAUGAACGCUAGCUACAGGCUUAACACAUGCAAGUCGAGGGGCAGCAUGACCUAGCAAUAGGUUGAUGGCGACCGGCGCACGGGUGAGUAACACGUAUCCAACCUGCCGAUUAUUCCGGGAUAGCCUUUCGAAAGAAAGAUUAAUACUGGAUAGCAUAACGAGAAGGCAUCUUCUUGUUAUUAAAGAAUUUCGAUAAUCGAUGGGGAUGCGUUCCAUUAGUUUGUUGGCGGGGUAACGGCCCACCAAGACAUCGAUGGAUAGGGGUUCUGAGAGGAAGGUCCCCCACAUUGGAACUGAGACACGGUCCAA